rnacentral:tRNA from 1 species
GCCGCCUUGGCGCAAUUGGUAGCGCAGCGUGCUUGUAACACGAAGGUUAGGGGUUCGAGUCCCCUAGGCGGCU